rnacentral:lncRNA from 1 species
CCCAUUUCUUCUCCUCCAUGAUAGCUUUCUUCACCUCCAUCCAUUCCUCUACCACCUCUUCUUCCUCCUCAUAAUCCUCCUCCAAGCCAUCCAUUAGCCAUCUCCUUCUAUAGCGACCCCCUCCUCCUCCUCAUCUUCUUCCUUUUUCAAGCCCACCUAUGAGCAAGGAGUAUUUCUAUUCAUUAAGAGAAAAAUAUAAUACUGUUUGUUGGUAAGUGAAUGGCUGGACUACAUUAGAACAUAUCUAUAACUAAAAGGAUCAAUUUGAUACUUUUUAAAGUACAGAAGAUGUAA